AUACCUUUCUCGGCCUUUUGGCUAAGAUCAAGUGUAGUAUCUGUUCUUAUCAGUUUAAUAUCUGAUAUGUGAGCCAUUGGCUCACACGAUAUUAACUCAAUUUUUUAAGCGGGAGGUCCAUGAAAGUAGCUUGCUACUUGGGCCUUCACGCGUCGCCUUGGUGUUGCACUACAGCCCAGGCCUGGCGCACCCCAC
rnacentral:snRNA from 1 species